rnacentral:rRNA from 1 species
CCUACGGGCGGCAGCAGUGAGGAAUAUUGGUCAAUGGCCGGAAGGCUGAACCAGCCAUGCCGCGUGAAGGUCAGUGCCCUAUGGGCGUUAAACUUCUUUUGUGCGGGAGCAAUAAUGGUCACGUGUGGCCAGACGAGAGUACCGUCCGAAUAAGCAUCGGCUAACUCCGGGCCAGCAGCCGCGGUAAUACGGGGGAUGCAAGCGUUAUCCGGAUUUAUUGGGUUGAAAGGUUGCGUAGGCUGUGAGGUAAGUCAGAGGUGAAAUGCCCCCGCUCAACGGGGUGAAGUGCCAUUGAUACUGCCGUGCUGGAAUGCGGAUGCCGUGGGAGGAAUGUGUGGUGUAGCGGUGAAAUGCAUAGAUAUCACACAGAACACCGAUUGCGAAGGCAUCUCACGAAUCCGCGAUUGACGCUGAUGCACGAAAGCGUGGGUAUCAAACAGGAUUAGAUACCCCAGUAGUCC